AUUGAACGCUGGCGGCAGGCCUAACACAUGCAAGUCGAGCGAGCGGCGGACGGGUGAGUAAUGUCUGGGAAACUGCCCGAUGGAGGGGGAUAACUACUGGAAACAGUAGCUAAUACCGCAUACCAUCGGAUGUGCCCAGAUGGGAUUAGCUAGUAGGUGGGGUAACGGCUCACCUAGGCGACGAUCCCUAGCUGGUCUGAGAGGAUGACCAGCCACACUGGAACUGAGACACGGCCCAGACUCCUACGGGAGGCAGCAGUGGGGAAUAUUGCACAAUGGGCGCAAGCCUGAUGCAGCCAUGCCGCGUGUAUGAAGAAGGCCUUCGGGUUGUAAAGUACUUUCAGUGGGGAGGCGUUACCCGCAGAAGAAGCACCGGCUAACUCCGUGCCAGCAGCCGCGGUAAUAC
rnacentral:rRNA from 1 species